UCCCUAGUGGCUCAGAGGAUAAAGCGUCUGCCUGCAAUGCACAAGACCCGGGUUCGAUCCCUGAGUUGGGAA
rfam:TPA: Bos taurus chromosome 18, whole genome shotgun sequence.